AGAACGCAUGCGCGGCGGGUCUACCUGCCUCAAUAGGAAGUUUAAACCGGAAGGAAAAGACUGGGAGCGGUCACUUACCCAUGAGAGUUGCUCCAGGAUCACCUAGAGCUGGAAGAGACCUCAAAGGUCCUGUAGGUCCUUAAAUUUUUAAAUUUAUUUUAUUUCAAAAUUACAGCUUUUUAUUUUAAAAAAAGUAUAUGGAUAAUUUUUGACAAUCACCUCCACGAAACUCUGUGUUCUAAUUUCCCCUCCCCUUUCCCGCUCCCAGUCCGCAAAUUUUCCAGUAUGUUAAACAGGAGCAAUUCCGCUACACACAUUUCCACAAUAAUCUUGCUGCACAAGAAAAAUCAGAUCCAAGAGGAAAGGGAAUGAGAAAGGAAACAAAAUGCAAGCAAACAACAAAGAGUGAGAAUGCCGCGUGGUCCACACUCAGUUCCCAUAAUCCUCUCUGGGUGCAGAUGGCGCUCGCCAUCACGAGACCCGGUCGGAAUCACCUCCUUGUUGAGGAGAGUCACGUCCAUCAGUGUAAUCUUGUGCACCCGGAGCACACGGAGCAGUUCUCCAUGGCUCUGCGCAGCCUCCCUCCCUCUUAGACAGCGACCCGAGGCAGGGGCGCUCAGCGGGACCAGGAAUAGAAGCAAGAAGACAACAGACAAGCCCCGACGCCCGCUCAGUCUAGAAGAUGUACAUGUAGCGCCAGUCGGAGCCUGGGGGUCAGUGGCCGAGGGAGAGACAAGCUCUAAAAGGAGGAGGACUGCUCAGACCCCAAGGAAAGGGCUUUCCAGAGCGCUCGGGGCCUGUUGGUAUGUCAGGACCAGGUGCAGGGAAGUCCCACCGGUAGUCCCCGCGGGAGCCGCUUAAAUAGCUGGGACAGUGCCCCGAAGUAUAAAGGGAAAAGUCCAAAGAAGCUGAUUAAAUACUGCUGCUUUGUUUGGGGGGGCCUCCCCCCAAACCUGGUCCGGGGUGGUAGAAGCAGUCCGUGAGCUAGGGAAUUCAAGAAAAAUAGGGCUCUGUGUCUGUGUGUGUGUGUUUGUCUGCUUUGCAUUCUGUUCUGUGGGAAAAGUUAGCAAGCUCAGAAGAGAUAAGAUUCAGCCUCUGUGCGGCAGGCUUAGAAAAAUAGCAGGCUGUAGCUGUACCAGAUCUAAAAUUAUAUUACAAAGCAGUGGUUACCAAAACCAUCUGGUACUGGCCAAGAAAUAGACUAGUUGAUCAAUGGAAUAGGUUAGGUUCAAAGGACAAAACAGCUAAUAACUUUAAUAAUCUAGUGUUUGACAAACCCAAAGAUACCAGUUUUGGGGAUAAGAACAUAUUAUUUGACACAAAUUGCUGGGAAAAUUGGAAAUUAGUAUGGCAGAAACUAGGCAUUGACCCACACUUAACACCGUACACCAAGAUAAGGUCAAAAUGGGUUCAUGACCUAGGCAUAAAGAAUGAGAUGAUAAAUAAAUUGGAAGAGCAUAGGAUAGUUUACCUCUCAGACCUGUGGAAGAGGGAGGAAUUUAUGACCAAAGAAGAACUAGAGAUCACUAUUGACCACAACAUAGAAAAUUUUGAUUAUAUCAAAUUGAAAAGUUUUUGUACAAACAAAACAAAUGCAGACACGAUUAGAAGGGAAACAAUAAACUGGGAAAACAUUUUUACAGUUAAAGGCUCUGAUAAAGGCCUCAUUUCCAAAAUAUAUAGAGAAUUGAUUCUAAUUUAUAAGAAAUCAAACCAUUCUCCAAUUGAGAAACGGUCAAAGGACAUGAACAGACAAUUCUCAGACGAAGAAAUUGAAACUAUUUCUAGCCAUAUGAAAAUAUGCUCCAAAUCACUAUUGAUCAGAGAAAUGCAAAUUAAGACAACUCUGAGAUACCACUACACACCUGUCAGAUUGGCUAGAGUGACAGGGAAAGAUAAUGCGGAAGGUUGGAGGGGAUGCGGGAAAACUGGGACACUGAUGCAUUGUUGGUGGAACUGUGAACACAUCCAGCCAUUCUGGAGAGCAAUUUGGAACUAUGCUCAAAAAGUUAUCAAAUUGUGCAUUCCCUUUGAUCUAGCAGUGUUUCUACUGGGCUUAUACCCCAAAGAGAUAUUAAAGAAGGGAAAGGGACCUGUAUGUGCCAAAAUGUUUGUGGCAGCCCUGUUUGUAGUGGCUAGAAGCUGGAAAAUGAAAGGAUGUCCAUCAAUUGGAGAAUGGUUGAGUAAAUUGUGGUAUAUGAAUGUUAUGGAAUAUUAUUGUUCUGUAAGGAAUGACCAGCAGGAUGAAUACAGAGAGGACUGGCGAGACUUCCAUGAACUGAAGCUGAGUGAAAUGAGCAGAACCAGGAGAUCAUUAUAAACCUCAACAACGAUACUGUUUGAGGAUGUAUUCUGAUGGAAGUGGAUCUCUUCGAUAAAGAGAGCUAAUUCAGUUUCAAUUGAUCAAUGAUGGACAGAAGCAGCUACACUCAAAGAAAGAGCAAAGAAUGGAUGUAAACUGCUUGCAUUUUUGUUUUUCUUCCCGGGUUAUUUCUACCUUCUGAAUCCAAUUCUCCCUGUGCAACAAGUGAACUGUUUGUUUCUGCAAACAUAUAUUGUAUCUAGGAUACACUGUGACAUAUUUAUCUUGUAUAGAACUGCUUGCCAUCUGGGGGAGGGGGUGAAGGGAGGGAGAGGAGAAGUCAGAACAGAAGUGAGUGCAAGGAAUAAUGUUGUAAAAAAAACUACCCAGGCAUGGGCUCUGUCAAUAAAAAGUUUAAAAAAAAAAUGGAUUAUACACAAUCUAGUGGGCUUCAAAAAAAAGAAAAAAGAGAAGUAUCAGGCUGAAUUGUGGGAGUUGGAAUUCAUUCAGAGUAAUAUCUUUCAGAGUGGCUCAGGGAGGAAAAAGAGUGACCCUGUCCAAGUCACUAUGAUUUGUUAAAUUAUUUAGGAACACAGGGACUGAGAAUUUCUUAAGAAAAAUUGCAAUUUGUGAAAUGUGAGAACACUGCAGUGAUUCAUGUGCAGGGGCACCAAAGAGGAGAUUCACUCGAGACAAGGGGAAACUGCUUUCGGGAUGAGGAGGCGAAAUGGGCUGGAGAAGAGGAAUCUGUAAGUACGGAGGAAAUGAUGGUGCUAAUUCUGGCAUUUUUGCCUCAAAUGCCUCCACCUUCCCUUACCCCCGAGGAGAAGCAGGAAACCCAAAGCCUUGGCGCUCAGGAGAAUAAAGAGGGGCACUGGCUCCUCCCUGAUGGCAGAGAGGUACUGACCACAGCAGGUAUGGGACAUAUGCUCCACCAUCUACAUCAGGGCAGUCCUUGGGGUGUCCAAGGCCUGCGUGACAUGGUGCUGACUAAGUUGGUGGCACUGGCUUGUACACAAUAGCAGGCAACUGGUCAGCGGGUGUCCUGUGAAGAGGAUGAAUAGGGCGGCCCAAUGACAAGUCCAGAAAGGAGGAAGGCCCCCUGAUAUCAGGCCUUUCCAAAGCAUCCAGGUGGACUUUGCCGAGCUGCCAUCAGUGGGAGUCUCAAAUACCUGUUGGUCGUAGCGGACCAUCUGACCUCAUGGGUGAGGCCUUUCCCCUUUCCGGGCAACAGCUGUCAAAGUGCUCCUUGGGCAUAUAUCAUUCCGAGAUAUGGGUUUGGUGGAGUAGGUAGAUUUGGACCAAAGCACCUGUUUCACAGCUAAGAUCCUCCUGUCUGUGGUCCAAGCUCUGGAAAUAUCAUGGGACUUAGACACCCCAUGGCAUCCGCCCUCAUCAGGUAAAGUGGAAAGGAUGGAUAAGGGAAUUAAAUAGCAAUUGACUAAAUUGGCUGAGACACAAUUGCCCUGGAAAGUGCCUUCUCCUUGCCUUAUUAAGAAUAGAACAAAACCCCGAAGGGAUGUGGGAUUAUCAACUUUAUGAAUGAUUGUAUGGUCACCCUUAUCCAAAAGGGAUUCAGAAUUCUUCCUUGGAUCCAAUAUUUGAGACCAAGGAUCUGUUUUUAAGGAAAUAUGUCGUGUCUGUACUGCACCAUCUGAAAACUUUACCACUAAAAGGGCUUAUUGCUCAGACUCCUCAGGAUUCACAGGCCAUAAGUUCUAGCUUGGAGACUGGAUCCUGGUUCGGACGCGGAAGGAGAACAAGCUGACCCUGAGCUGGAAAGGACCGUUCCAGAUCCUCUUGACAUCAGACAGCACGGGAAAGGGGGUGGACUCAGCAUACCAGAAUUAAAAGCCCUGUGGACACUCUGAGGGAGUGGCCUUCCAAAGUGAAUCCAGAGAACGAGCCGAGACAAACAUUGAAAAGGAACUGUGCCCGUGAGAUCUUGAUAGUGGUAUCGAUCUGGGGCACCUUAUUGGGCACUGCCUAAAUCAAACAGGUACAAGGCCAUGGAUGAGAGAGAGUAAGUGUGAAUGAACCAGAGAGGGUAGAUAUUAUAGAUUGUGGUGAGCACAGAAACAGAGGGAGCAAGUUAAAUAUUGUUUGUGACGAUGGGUCAGUGCUUAAUUGUGUCUGUAAAUAGAAAAAAGCAUUCAUUAGAGAGCAAUGAAGACAAACUGGUGAUGAUCCAGAUGAGGAGAUUAACAAGCAAUGUGUAGAGAUGUUAAUUGAACUUGACCACAAUGUAAGUUCUUCAUGAGGAAAUACAUUUAUGAAUAACAGGGGGCACUGUGUGGGAAAAGGGGAAGCACUUACAGAGUCUCAAGUAGAUCAAGCCUUAAAGGCCUCAGUUUCAGUUUCUCUGCAGUCAUGUGA